UCUCCUACCAAUUUGAUCUCGAGCAAGGUACUUCACACGUCUAUGCUUCUUUCCUCCAUCUGUAAAGUUGGGAUCAUAAUACUGCCUACCUCAGAAGGCCAUUGUGAGAUAAAUGAGACAACAAGUGAAAACACUUAGCCUAGGGGCUGGCACAGAGUAAAUCACAAAAAGUAACUGAACCAAGGCUGGUAAUUCUUCCUGUUGAGUGCAGAAUGACAGUAUGAGUGGAAGGUCCAAAUGCAAGAAACAAGAAUCUUGUUUGAAAUCUGAACCAUCACUUCUCAACCCCAGAAACAAAGGAGAGGCUAAAGUUAAAGUCAUGAUUUGGUGAAGAUGAGUCCCGGAAGUAGAUGACUGGCUGAAUCGACUCAUAAAUGGCUGUGAAACAAGUUAAGCGUCGAUACACCUGCAAGGUUUCAGAGGCCAUUUUAUUGGGAAAGUUAUUUCUGGUGAAGAAAUGUCAUGAUCAGGUCUGAAUGCAGAACAAUACAAAAUUAAGAAUUAAGUGCUUCAUCAAGUUUUUGCAGGUGAGUCACCAACAGCUUUGCAUGUACUGUAAGUGCCAGCCAAUGAGGUUAAUGAUUCAAAAACCCAGAGUACAAGGAGAAUACAAUGUGCAAAGGAAAUGGGCCCCGCCACCUUGCUCAGGUGCCGUGUGAAGACACGGAUGUUGAAAACAAAAUCUUUCCCGAGAGAAAACAACCAUGCUUGCACUGUGUUUUCAGAAUUGCCUCCUCAUGUAAAUUAACUCAAUAAAAUUGGGUCCUUUC